UACAGGGGGGGCAAGCGUUGUUCGGAAUUACUGGGCGUAAAGGGUUUGUAGGUGGCUUGCUAAGUCAGACGUGAAAUCCCUCAGCUUAACUGGGGAACUGCGUCUGAUACUGGCGAGCUUGAGUGCAGGAGAGGAACGCGGAAUUCCAGGUGUAGCGGUGAAAUGCGUAGAUAUCGGGAAGAACACCCGUGGCGAAGGCGGCACUCUGGGACGGUACUGACGCUGAGACGCGAAAGCGUGGGGAGCGAACAGG
rnacentral:rRNA from 1 species